AAAAAAACAAAACAAAACAAAAAACAUGUUGUGUUAUCCGACUUCUUAUGUGCAGUACAGAAAAUCGAAUAGAAGUUACGUCAAAGGAUAAAUAUAAAUGGUACAGAAAAGAAUAAUCAUGAUCUAAUAAAAAAUUUAAGACAACCAUUUGCCUUUUGUAGAUUAUUUUAAGAUCCACAGUUCAAGAUUGUCACUGUGGUUAAGUUGAUAUGCAUGGUUUACAUUAUGAAAAGAAGAGAUGAGAUUGGCUAUGAUGUCAGUGACCACACCCAUACUGUUCAUAUAUCGCAGAGCUCCUCCCCACUGCAGUCAUUCAUCUGCAUCGAUUAAUUUAUUUAAUGUAUCAAGUGUUUACAAGUUUGUGUGUAUGAACCUCUAAAACGAUGCGCUGUGAUCAAAACCGAUUAAAACUUUUAAACCGUGGUUUCACGAUGGAGGUGUGUGUGCUAGUGAUUCUCAUAAUUUCAGGGGUGUUUGCUGACAGCAUUAAACCAAAUGACAAGGAUACUAAUAUGAUGAAGACAGAAGGAGAGUCUGUGACACUGAGCUGCACAUAUGAUACAAGCAGCAGUUAUGUUUAUCUUUACUGGUACAGACAGUAUCCUAACAGAGAACCUCAGUUUUUACUGUGGAAAGGUGCUCGAUCAUACAGCAGCUAUAAGGAUAUACCAGACCCUCAUUUUCAGUCGGCUACAUCCCAAACAUCCACAGAACUCACUAUUGCCACUGUAACACUGUCAGAUUCAGCUCUCUAUUACUGUGCUCUAAGAGUAGAAGCCCAGUGAUACA